GCGCUGUCUUAUCCAUUGUGAGAAGAAACAAGCUGCUUUCCCUCUUUUCUGACUUUGUGGGCAAGCGAAGGCUGAAAGCAGGCGAAGGGAUGAAGAGAGGAAUGGAGGCAGGAGAUGACUUUUUCCUUCUCUCUGUCCUGCCGGGUAAUCUGCCAGCAUUCCCAGACCUCGUUUAUUCUGAACUCUGGCAAAGCAUUCCUCUUAAAAUACGCAGAGCAGUGCUGACUGGUAGUGGUUUUCUUAGGGCAGCUAUCACUUUUAGCCGUGCGGUGCUUAUAUACAUUUGUCACAUGCUCAACUGAUUCAUUUUCUCAAACUUAGCUUAGCAAGUGAACCAGGUUAGAGAGGCAGCCCGGUGUGUCGUGGUUAUAGCCCUGGGGCAAAAAGCCAGAGGGUAAAAUCCCAGUUACACUGGUGUAUCGUGGAACUUGUCUCAUUGCCUUCAUCAAACGGUAUAGAAACAACAAUGACAGCAGGCUGCGCCCCGCGUGCAGGAUCGAUCUCAUGUUAUUCUCCUCCAGCAAUGGAGAAUUCCUGCCAAGAUCUGCUGUGUCACAGCCCUGCAGCUCCCUGGGUCAGAUUCCUUACACCUCAUAGCUGGCGGCAUAGUGUUCUCAACCAUCGGCCAAUUCACAUUAAUAGAACACUUUCAUGUGAUCGAGGGAGAAGGGGGAUCCAUACACCAGCUGGGAGAGAAGGAGUGCAGAAGGUUAUGAAAAUCAGGGGCAGAGCGGUACAGUUUGAUUUUUAGUCUAGAGGAAACUCUAGCAAGCAUACGAUCCAGCUCUGAGCCCUUGCACGUGGCUCAGGAUGUGUGUUUGCUUCACGUGUGAACAGCAUUGUGAUGCGGGGAAUUGUAUAGGAUGCUGACAAGACUAGAUAAGGCUAAAAGAAGAGGCGAGAGGAUGUGUCUAGAUCUUCUGAAACAAAAGCACUUUUUGAUGUUAACACACUCCAACAUCAUGAGCAGCUCCUUGUUGAAGCCAGAAGGACAAAGAUUGCUGCAGGAAGGAGGAGAAAAGUACAGAAAAGCAGAUAAAAGCAGUUCACAAGUACCAAAAUCCUAAUUUUUAUAGUACGGCUUAAUAAAUCUGCAGAUUUGGACCUCCGAUGUGGUUUUAAUGUGCUCCAGUUGGGUUUUAGCACAAUAUAGACUGUGAAAUCUCCCAACACUUGCAAAGGAUAUGUGCGUGAUGUGCCUUUCACUUUUGUUACUGUUAGCUCUGUAAGAUGUGAGCUGUUGACCUAUUUUCUAUCCUCAUGAAAAAGCUUUUGAUUAGACUAUAAAGAAGUUGGGUUUAUAUUUCUGUAUGUGUCUGCGCAUUAUAUAUUCAGCAUAUUGAUACUCUUUAAACUGCAGCAAUUAACUGCUGGAAUAAGUUGCGUGCCUACUUGUUGCGUUGCCCGUUACUCACAGUUUCCAUGCCACUUCCAACUGUAAACUGAAAAUUACACUUAACCACUUUCUUUAUGAGAAAUAGCUGCUUUUACCCACAGAUUUGGAGCUCUGCACAAUUUUAUUGAACCCAUAUGAAAAUCUCUGCGUGGUGCAAGGGACCAGGAGGUUUAAAUUCAGGGUCUACAUAAAGUAUUCUUUUUUUUUCCCAGUUUCUCUGGUAGACUCUUAACUCAUUGCACUGCUCACACCAAAAAGUGGUGUGUGUCAGGAGCACUGAGCGUGGAGAUAGCCUUGCAUUCUUAUAAACUAGCCUUAACAUUUCUUAAUUGUCAUAUGUGCAAUCGUCUCAGCAUGAAGGCUUGCCAGCCCAAACCCAAUAUUUGAACCAUGGCACUAUUAAACCAUUUCUGUUGGUGAAAAGAGUUCCAGAGUUCUGACAAUUGCACCGAAGCCUUUUGCAUUAUCGGAUUCUAGAGCCUCGUCUUAUAUUUUUAUGGUAGGUUCUGUUCUUAUAUCUGAAGUUUGAAGAGUUUUGAUUCAACCCGCAGGCCAUCACUCUUUUCAAAGAAGAAUAUUACUCCUUUCUAGAUGUGCAGGACUUCACCAAGUAACCUUUAAGAGUUUGCUUGUGCAACAAACCAAGAAUCCCAUCUGGAUGCAAGAAGACACUACUCUUGAUUCACCUUAGCCCAUUAAUUGUGGAGGGUGGUGCUGUACAUACUCCAGUCAUACAUGAACCUUAAACUCAACAAACAGUUGUAGGGUUUAUUUUGUACUCAUUCCAUUGACUUGCAGUAUGGUUGGUGUCCACUUUCUGGGUGCUAGUGACUGAUAUUCGGUUCCCUGUGUUCUGUCUUGGAUUCUUGUCAAGAGCAGAAGUUUUAUAUUUUUCUGUUUACUAAUA